rfam:Cavia porcellus supercont2_22 genomic scaffold, whole genome shotgun sequence.
GGGGAUUUAGCUUAGAGGCAUAAGCACCUGCCUUGCAAGCAGCCAGUCGUGAGUUCGAUCCCCGGUACCCA